UUUUAAUAUCGUUUAAAAGGUCGGUCGAUACUCAUCGUAUCUUCGUUUGACCUGACUUUUAAAACCCAGAAAGUUAAUAACAUCGAAGAAAAGAGAAAAGGAGUUACUGUUUCCAAUCACGAAUGAAUGUUCGUAAUGAGACGAAAUUCGAAAAUUAAAUUAGAAAUUCGUGUUCCGUUUGAAGUUUCUAGGACAGAGAACUUGUCAAAUAUAUUUUUCUGAAGAAGUUUGAUGACUUUUCGAACGUUCACAUCUAUUUUUUCUUUAUUCUUUCUCCUUUCCUUCCUAUUUUAAGAAAGACAAAGAUUGUCUAGUGACCAACGUUAUAAUCGUUAGUUACAUUGUAGAAUACUCGAAGCGAAAAUGGAAACAAUGUUUAAACAGAGAAGAGGUUCGCUUCGUCAGGGCAGUUCAGUUGGAAACACACAAGAUAGUGAAAAGGAUCGUCGGAGUGUAUUGUCGAAUCGAGUCUUGAACGUUCUAGCACAGCCGACAUUGAGUUGUCGAUAAAUUCGACUCUUGGAGAGAAAAAAAGAAAGAGAGAGAGAAAACCUAUGCCAAAAUUAGAUCAAGCUAUUUCACCUUCAACGAUCAUUCUUUUUUUAGAACUAACGUAAAACAUCUUCAUGUGUAUUGCAUCGUAAAAUUAUACGAUCAGAUAAUCUAAGAGGAAAACGAUAAGUUAGAAGCUUAUCGUUAUCCGAUAUUUAUACUUUCAACUCGAUAAAGGUAAAAGAAAUUCUACGUAAAAGGAUUAUUUUAACAUUUUGAAGUUUACAGUAGUUUUAAGCUGUUCGAGAGCGUUCAUUCUAGAUCUAUGUUUCAAUGGAAUAACUACGAUUCGAUCGGACGAGUUAAGCGCAGCUAACUACAAUUUUUAUAUCUCCUUUUGGGUGAAGUUGAUAACGUUCGAUAAGAGGACGUUAUCGGUAUUAGCGAAGAGAGGAAAAGGGAAAGAAGAGGAAGACAAGAAUUACAUUGAAGUUAUCGUCGUUGAAGAGAAUAUCGGUGACCUUGCGUUUGAUAGAAGAAAGGAAAUUUGUUUUUGUUGGAAAAACCAGUCAAUUGUGAGAUAAUUAAAAUGGCAGAAAAUUCAUCGUCCGAGUCGAAUGAGAAAAUGCCUGUGGAAGAAGAAGUCAAGGAGGAACUUGAAGCUGAAGGCGAAGAAGCCGCAGAGGAGUCUGAAGAAGAGGAGUCUGAAGAAGAGGAUGGCAACGAUAACAUCAAAAAGCGUACAAAAAGAAAUAUUAUUACAGCACCGACAUUUAAAAUAAAAGAUGAAAUUGAAUAUCGUUUAGAUACGAAUGGAAACUGGAGACCAGUCAAUCCUUAAUCAUAUAUUUUUAUAUUACAUGCAAAACAGAAAAGAGAUAAUAAAAUAAAUAAUAAAAUGCUCAGAAUACAAAGAUUA